rnacentral:misc_RNA from 1 species
GAUGAAGAACGCAGCGAAAUGCGAUAAGUAGUGUGAAUUGCAGAAUUCAGUGAAUCAUCGAAUCUUUGAACGCACAUUGCGCCCUUUGGUAUUCCUUAGGGCAUGCCUGUUCGAGCGUCAUUUAAACCUUCAAGCUAAGCUUGGUGUUGGGUGACUGUCCGCUUCACUGCGGACUCGCCUCAAAAUUAUUGGCGGCCGGUACAUUGGCUUCGAGCGCAGCAGAAACGCGAACUCGGGCCCGUCGUAUUGGCUCCCAGAAGCUAUCUUCACAAUUUUGACCUCGGAUCAGGUAGGGAUACCCGCUGAACUUAAGCAUAUCAAUAAGGGAGGA